CUUUAAUUGCAUUUAUUAUGUACUGCAUAUUAAUUGUUGGGAUAGUUCCGCAUAUGUAACGUGUUUUUAUUCACGUGUUUUUAUGUCCCCCACUAUAGUAGUGGGGGACAUAUUGUAUUUGCCCUGUCUGUUGGUCUGUUGGUCUGUCUGUCUGUCUGUUUGCGCCAACUUUAUUAUUUUGCAAUAACUUUAACUAUAUUGAAGAUAGCAACUUCAUAUUUGGCAUGCAUGUGUAUCUCAUGAAGCUGCACAUUUUGAGUGGUGAAAGGUCAAGGUCAUCCUUCAAGGUCAGAGGACAAAUAUAUGUGGCCCAAAUCGCUUAUUUUAUAAAUACUUUUGCAAUAUUGAAGAUAGCAACUUGAUAUUUGGCAUGCAUGUGCAUCUCAUGGAGCUGCACAUUUUGAGUGGUGAAAGGUCAAGGUCAAGGUCAUCCUUCACAAGGUCAAGGUCAUCCUACAAGGUCAAACAUCAUAUAGGGGGACAUUGUGUUUCACAAACGCAUCUUGUUUAAUCUGUCUUUGUGUUUUAACGGUCGCCUUUAAUGGACUGUCAAAACUGUGUUUGAAUGUAUUUAAUCAAUUGCCAUUAUUAUCUUUUUAAUGAAGGUUAUAUUAUAGUAUCGUGUCUGUUCCUAGAUGUAUUCUACGACAAUAUGGCUGCAUUUUUAGAACUGUUAUGCACUGAUUUACAACUAUUAUGUCACAUUAAAUACUGUACUUGUAACAUCUAUAUUUUCAUAGAGCAUAUUACAUGACCUUUUGACCAUCUACAUUUUUUAUUGCGUAGGUGGUCUGUUUAUGGUUUAUGAAAUGCUUGUUUUUAAUAUCAAACGCAACCAGUUAAAACAUUUUGUUUCUCGUGUUUGUUUAACUACAGACACCUUUUCAUAAUGUCAUAAUAUCAGUUUCAUUAAAUAAUAUAUUGUACUAUGUGCAGAGCCUUUGAGCUGCCUAUAUUUUUGUUUCGCAAAGGUAGCAAGCAAGGGCUAAUUCUUAUGAAAUUGAUACAAGCAUGAAAAAAGCAUAAUUGAUAUUUAGUUAAAUACUGUUUGCUAUCACGUGAAACGAAAUUUGUUACGCGGGGUAAGUAAAACGUGUUAUUAUUGUGACAAUUGUCAUGUGAAGACCCAAUAUAUGUACAAUAUGCUUAUUUGAUAUUUUGUUGUCAUAAUUAAGCUCCAUUACAAAUGAUGUAAUACGACCUAUUCAAUUACAUAUAUACUAUCAAUGGUUAUUAAUAUAAUUAUACCUAUAUUUAUGCCCCUCUUCGAAGAAGAGGGGGUAUAUUGCUUUGCUCAUGUCGGUCGGUCUGUUGGUCGGUCGGUCCGUACACCAGGUGGUUUCCGGAUGAUAACUCAAUAACGCUUGGGCCUAGGAUCAUGAAACUUCAUAGGAACAUUGAUCUUUACUCGCAGAUGACCCCUAUUGAUUUUUAGGUCACAAGGUCAAAGGUCAAGGUCACAGUGACAAAAAUCAUAUACACACAAUGGCUGCCACUACAACGGACAGUCCAUAUGGGGGGCAUGCAUGUUUUACAAACAGCCCUUGUUUUUAUAUUGCAUUAAAUUGAGUUUAUUAGCCUCAUACACUCUGACGCACUUAGGAUAUAUUUAAUUACAUGUAUACUUUCGAUAAUUAUUUAUGUUCUAGUGUAAUGUAUAAUAACUCAUAAUGUAUAAUAAUUCAUGUAUGCACCGUUGUAACCAAACGAUUUUAUUUCUUUGCAUAACUUUAUUUUGUAUAAACAUAAACUGUGUAUUGUGGAAACACUGUAUCAUGUAUGCUUGAUUUGUCCACUUGGGCUUUUGGCUUUCUGGAUGGAUUGUUUAAUAAACUAUGUUCUAAAAAAUGCAAA